UACGGGGGGUGCAAGCGUUAUUCGGAUUUAUUGGGCGUAAAGGGCGCGUAGGCGGCCUCUUAAGUCAGAUGUGAAAGCCCGGGGCUCAACCCUGGGAGUGCAUUUGAGACUAAGGGGCUUGAGUAUGGGAGAGGGAAGUGGAAUUCCUGGUGUAGCGGUGAAAUGCGUAGAUAUCAGGAGGAACACCGGUGGCGAAGGCGACUUCCUGGACCGAUACUGACGCUGAGGCGCGAAGGCGUGGGGAGCAAACAGG
rnacentral:rRNA from 1 species